GUCAGCUCGUGUCGUGAGAUUGGUUGGGUUAACGUCCCGCAACGAGCGCCAACCCUUUGUCAUUUAGUUGCUACAUUCAGGUUUGGGCACUACUAAUGAGACUGCCGGUGACAAGCCGGAGGAAGGGUGGGGAUGACGUCAAGUCCUCAUGGCCCUUAUAGGGUGGGGCUACACACGUCAUACAAUGGCUGGUAACGAAAGGGUUGCCCAACCCGCGAGGGGGGAGCUAAUCCCAUAAAGCCAGUCGUAGUCCGGAUCGUAGUCUGCAACUCGACUACGUGAAGUCGGAAUCGCUAGUAAUCGUGGAUCAGAAUGUUGCGGUGAAUACGUUCCCGGGUCUU
rnacentral:rRNA from 1 species